CCAUAUAUACAUCUAUACAAUUUGCUAGCCUUCUCAGUUCUCACGGAGCAAACAAAAAGAAAAAGAAAAUCCCUACAAUCUUCAUGCUGUCCUCUGGUUGCCUUCAAGACUCACCGUGCAAGACAAUAAGUGUCAUCACCGUGCAAGGGCGCAGGGCUCACUGCGCGCGCGAGCAUACAGCUGCAACCUGUGCAGAGAUCGACAGAUCUUCGCUUCUGUCAGCACUCGCUCGGCGGAGGUGUUGCAGGAUUUAGAGGAAGCGGACGGAUUAGAGGCCGCAAGGAUGUGCCUAUGGCAGCGCCGGUGCCGGCGCCAGGGAGAUUGGGGAGGGGCUGAGGGAAGACGAGAUCAACGAACGACUGUCGCAGCCGCGCGCUCGCGUACUCGUGUUCGUGUCGUGAGGAAAGAGGGUGGCGGACUGGCGGCUGAGUGAUAGGAGGAAACGAGGGGAUUGGGAGAGCUAAGGGUUAGCGGGGCGCUGGCCAAAUUUUAUAUCAGCUUUUAGGCUUAGGCCAUAU
rnacentral:lncRNA from 1 species